CUACGUGCCAGCAGCCGCGGUAAUACGUAGGUGGCAAGCGUUGUCCGGAAUUAUUGGGCGUAAAGCGCGCGCAGGCGGAUUGGUCAGUCUGUCUUAAAAGUUCGGGGCUUAACCCCGUGAUGGGAUGGAAACUGCCAAUCUAGAGUAUCGGAGAGGAAAGUGGAAUUCCUAGUGUAGCGGUGAAAUGCGUAGAUAUUAGGAGGAACACCAGUGGCGAAGGCGACUUUCUGGACGAAAACUGACGCUGAGGCGCGAAAGCCAGGGGAGCGAACGGGAUUAGAUACCCCGGUAGUCCUGGCCGUAAACGAUGGGUACUAGGUGUAGGAGGUAUCGACCCCUUCUGUGCCGGAGUUAACGCAAUAAGUACCCCGCCUGGGGAGUACGACCGCAAGGUUGAAACUCAAAGGAAUUGACGGGGGCCCGCACAAGCGGUGGAGUAUGUGGUUUAAUUCGACGCAACGCGAAGAACCUUACCAGGUCUUGACAU
rnacentral:rRNA from 1 species